rnacentral:rRNA from 1 species
ACAGCAGCCGCCGCGGUAAUACGAAGGGUGCAAGCGUUACUCGGAAUUACUGGGCGUAAAGCGUGCGUAGGUGGUGGUUUAAGUCCGUUGUGAAAGCCCUGGGCUCAACCUGGGAAUUGCAGUGGAUACUGGGUCACUAGAGUGUGGUAGAGGAUAGUGGAAUUUCCGGUGUAGCAGUGAAAUGCGUAGAGAUCGGAAGGAACAUCUGUGGCGAAGGCGACUAUCUGGGCCAACACUGACACUGAGGCACGAAAGCGUGGGUAGCAAACAGGAUUAGAUACCCGGGUAGUCCCUGUCUCUUAUAC